rnacentral:rRNA from 2 species
GGGGGAUAUUGCACAAUGGAGGAAACUCUGAUGCAGCAACGCCGCGUGAGGGAAGAAGGUUUUCGGAUUGUAAACCUCUGUCCCUGGGGACGAUAAUGACGGUACCCGGGGAGGAAGCUCCGGCUAACUACGUGCCAGCAGCCGCGGUAAUACGUAGGGAGCAAGCGUUGUCCGGAUUUACUGGGUGUAAAGGGUGCGUAGGCGGCAAAGCAAGUCAGGUGUGAAAUGUAUGGGCUUAACCCAUGAACUGCACUUGAAACUGUUUAGCUUGAGUGAAGUAGAGGCAGGCGGAAUUCCCGGUGUAGCGGUAAAAUGCGUAGAUAUAUGGAAGAACACCGGUGGCGAAGGCGGCUGCCUGGCCUGUAACUGACGCUGAGGCACGAAAGCGUGGGGAGCAAAUA